CAUUCACGGAGAGUUUGAUCCUGGCUCAGGACGAACGCUGGCGGCGUGCUUAACACAUGCAAGUCGAACGAUGAACCACUUCGGUGGGGAUUAGUGGCGAACGGGUGAGUAACACGUGGGCAAUCUGCCCUUCACUCUGGGACAAGCCCUGGAAACGGGGUCUAAUACCGGAUAACACCUUCCCUCUCCUGAGGGAGGGUUAAAAGCUCCGGCGGUGAAGGAUGAGCCCGCGGCCUAUCAGCUUGUUGGUGAGGUAAUGGCUCACCAAGGCGACGACGGGUAGCCGGCCUGAGAGGGCGACCGGCCACACUGGGACUGAGACACGGCCCAGACUCCUACGGGAGGCAGCAGUGGGGAAUAUUGCACAAUGGGCGAAAGCCUGAUGCAGCGACGC
rnacentral:rRNA from 1 species